CAUGGCCCUUACGACCAGGGCUACACACGUGCUACAAUGGCAUAUACAAAGAGAAGCGACCUCGCGAGAGCAAGCGGACCUCAUAAAGUAUGUCGUAGUCCGGAUUGGAGUCUGCAACUCGACUNCCAUGAAGUNCGGAAUCGCUAGUAAUCGUAGAUCAGAAUGCUACGGUGAAUACGUUCCCGGGCCUUGUACACACCGCCCGUCACACCAUGGGAGUGGGUUGNCAAAAGAAGUAGGUAGCUUAACCUUCGGGAGGGCGNCUUACCANCUUUGUGAUUCAUGACUGGGGUGAAGUCGUAACAAGGUAACCGUAGGGGAACCUGCGGUUGGAUCACCUCCUUACCUUAAAGAA
rnacentral:rRNA from 1 species